rnacentral:rRNA from 1 species
UAAUCCUGUAGUCGAAAAUGUUGUCUCUCUUGAGUGGAUCCUGAGUACGACGGAGCACGUGAAAUUCCGUCGGAAUCUGGGAGGACCAUCUCCUAAGGCUAAAUACUCUCUAGUGACCGAUAGUGAACCAGUACCGUGAGGGAAAGGUGAAAAGCACCCCGGAAGGGGAGUGAAAUAGAACCUGAAACCGUGUGCUUACAAGUAGUCAGAGCCCGUUAAUGGGUGAUGGCGUGCCUUUUGUAGAAUGAACCGGCGAGUUACGAUUUGAUGCAAGGUUAAGCAGUAAAUGUGGAGCCGUAGCGAAAGCGAGUCUGAAUAGGGCGUUUAGUAUUUGGUCGUAGACCCGAAACCAGGUGAUCUACCCUUGGUCAGGUUGAAGUUCAGGUAACACUGAAUGGAGGACCGAACCGACUUACGUUGAAAAGUGAGCGGAUGAACUGAGGGUAGCGGAGAAAUUCCAAUCGAACCUGGAGAUAGCUGGUUCUCUCCGAAAUAGCUUUAGGGCUAGCCUCAAGUGAUGAUUAUUGGAGGUAGAGCACUGUUUGGACGAGGGGCCCCUCUCGGGUUACCGAAUUCAGACAAACUCCGAAUGCCAAUUAAUUUAACUUGGGAGUCAGAACAUGGGUGAUAAGGUCCGUGUUCGAAAGGGAAACAGCCCAGACCACCAGCUAAGGUCCCAAAAUAUAUGUUAAGUGGAAAAGGAUGUGGCGUUGCCCAGACAACUAGGAUGUUGGCUUAGAAGCAGCCAUCAUUUAAAGAGUGCGUAAUAGCUCACUAGUCGAGUGACACUGCGCCGAAAAUGUACCGGGGCUAAACAUAUUACCGAAGCUGUGGAUUGUCCUUUGGACAAUGGUAGGAGAGCGUUCUAAGGGCGUUGAAGCAUGAUCGUAAGGACAUGUGGAGCGCUUAGAAGUGAGAAUGCCGGUGUGAGUAGCGAAAGACGGGUGAGAAUCCCGUCCACCGAUUGACUAAGGUUUCCAGAGGAAGGCUCGUCCGCUCUGGGUUAGUCGGGUCCUAAGCUGAGGCCGACAGGCGUAGGCGAUGGAUAACAGGUUGAUAUUCCUGUACCAC